AGAUUGCUGGCCAUGCUCACCAUCACUUCACCGAGCUGGAAAAAACAGAGUGACAUCAGGAAGGGACUCUGGCGUGAAGGUGCUGAAGAGACCCUGCAUUUGUUUGCCUUUUUGAAUGGUUAACAGAAGUGCUGAAAAAGUCAAACCAGCGAUGCCGUCUGGCAAAUAUUUUAAGAUGCCCUGGGCGGCGUCAGGUGUCACCAUGCGCCCGUUCUGAUACCACAGCACUUGCAUAUCCUCGGCUACAAAGGAUGCCUGACACUGGAAGGGCAGGCUGUCCCCCUGAAAGACCACCUGCCGCUGGGACGGCGUCAGCUGGAAGGAGGGCAGCUCCAGCGGGGCGUCUGCAAGGAAACAUAUUGGGAAACUGAAGUAGUCGCUUUCAGAAGUCACAAACCGCCAAUGGAUAAUAAUUGCAAGUGUCUAUUCGCCAACCGAAUAGAGAUAUCUAUUCCGAAUUCAAGUAAUUUAUCUCGCCAAAUCACAAACCAGUAUGUAUUGCUGCAAGCUAUUGAGAUUCAAUUUGAAUAAAGGAUUUAAACAGUAA